UCCUAGAUACUAUAUAUUCUUCGCUCCAACCACUUAAAUCGUUCUUCCAUUUUUUCUUUUUCUUCUUCUAAAUCUCUCACUCUCGCAUUCACCUCCGCAAGUUCCCAUUCAUAUUUUUCGCUACGUUCCUUGUAUGCUUGACAAUUCCAUUCAGCUCUUCAAUUUUUAUCUUCCAACUCCUUCACUUUCUCCCUCAUUUCUGUAAUAAUUCUAUCUCCAUCAUUUUGCAUUCUCACCUGGAAUAACCACAUACCAUGAAGAUCCUGGAAUAUCUUCCUGUAGCUUUCCCAAUAACAUGAUUCCUCAGCCCAUUCAUCAAAUUCACAAGUAGGUUCAUCGGGUUGCUUGUACAAUGUGUUC
rnacentral:lncRNA from 1 species